UGGGGGAAUUUUGGACAAUGGGGGGAAACCCUGAUCCAGCCAUCCCGCGUGUGCGAUGAAGGCCUUCGGGUUGUAAAGCACUUUUGGCAGGAAAGAAACGUCGCGGGUUAAUACCCCGCGAACUGACGGUACCUGCAGAAUAAGCACCGGCUAACUACGUGCCAGCAGCCGCGGUAAUACGUAGGGUGCAAGCGUUAAUCGGAAUUACUGGGCGUAAAGCGUGCGCAGGCGGUUCGGAAAGAAAGAUGUGAAAUCCCAGAGCUUAACUUUGGAACUGCAUUUUUAACUACCGGGCUAGAGUGUGUCAGAGGGAGGUGGAAUUCCGCGUGUAGCAGUGAAAUGCGUAGAUAUGCGGAGGAACACCGAUGGCGAAGGCAGCCUCCUGGGAUAACACUGACGCUCAUGCACGAAAGCGUGGGGAGCAAACAGGAUUAGAUACCCUGGUAGUCCACGCCCUAAACGAUGUCAACUAGCUGUUGGGGUCUUCGGGAACCCUUGGGUAGCGCAGCUAACGCGUGAAGUUGACCGCCCUGGGGGAGUACGGUCGCAAGAUUAAAAACUCAAAGGAAUUGACGGGGGUCAUAGCUGUUUCCU
rnacentral:rRNA from 1 species